UUAGGUAGAUAGUACAGAUACAUGCUGAUUCAGAAGAACAGUAUCUUUUGUGGAAACAUCAAAAGAAUCUCUACUGUAUCAGGCACAUUUUAUUUUCAUCUUAAGACAGUAGACUACCUGAACUCUCAAUUAGUGGUUCACGAAUUACAGUUUAGGUAUCUUUAGUACAUAAAAUACAUCCUUUGAGUAUUUCAAAAUGACAGGACAUGAUUUUCUGCUCUUAACUGUUGUUCCAAAAGUAUCUGUAACGAUAUAUGUAUAAGCAUCCUUAAAGUCUACAAAUGUGUUUGCAAUAUAUAACAGUGAAGGGAAAGAUAAGAAGCUAAUGAUUUCUUGUUUACCAGGACCCAUUAUUUGUGGUGCUGAGAAAAGUACUGUAGCUUUUACAUUGAGCUGCUCC